AAGUUCUGUCCUCGAUUUAAAUACUGCACAGCAGUUCGCUGUUUCUUAUCUUAAUGCUGUACGUUUUGACAGGUACCAUCGUGACGAUAUCAAAGGACAGUUUAGCCGUCACCUCAGCCAGAGUUGGAAGCCGGCGGAAAUCUUCACAACUGGUGUUAUUCUCGGGCAGUUACUUGGCGAUGAUGACGGUCAUUUUCUUCUGGGCGGUGUACAAAAUGGAUUUUUUCCCGAUAACUUGUGUUACUUAUAGUAAACAAUAUCAUACAACAUGAUAGCCAAAAAUGAUUGUUCGGAUGACUGAUUUUGGCCUGCUUGUUUCUUCUUCGACAAUGGAUACAUUACACCUUCACAAGCAUAGGAACCUAUAUCAGCAUUUCUUGAAUUAUUUGCUCAGGCCUUAGUCAUCCGUUCUCUGUGGUUGAGGUUUCUCGUGUAUGAUAGAGCACAAGAGCUCGCUCGUUGUGAUUAUUGAAACGGUCAUGAGCAUGGAUUUCUUCGCAUGAUACGCUUUUCCGUGCGACAUUUUUUCUUCCCUGAGUUCGUGAAUAAUCAAUCUUUUCGCUGCUUUGAAGUUAGAAGGAGAUGCUUUUCCCCUUGAUUCUAGUCUCUGAUUAUAGAUUUCCUGUUUUUAGCGCACUUUUGGGGUCUCUAGCCUUCAACAAAACGAUGAAGAUGACACCAGAAAGAUUGCCUCUGCGGUAUGCCUGCAAAUGAGCACGAUCAGUCAGGCCCUCAUAUUUGUAACUUGGGCCAGAAGUUAGUCAUUCGUCGAGCGUCCGAUCUCCUACUGGUGGCUGCUUUUGUUGUUGCGUGAUUGAUUGCUACCCUGAUUGCUGUUUAUGCAAAUUGGAGCUUGGCAGCGAUAGGAAGGGAUCGGAUGGGGUUGGCCUGGUGUCGUUUGGCUUUACAACCUUAUAUCCUAUAUACUACUCAAUUUCAUCAAAUUCUUUACACGAUAUGCAUUGAGCGGAAAGGCUUGGGAUCUUGUCAUAGAGCAAAGGAUUGCGUUUACGAGGAAAAAGGAUUGCAGAAAAGAAGAACGCGAGCUAAAGUGGGCACACGCGCGGAGAACGCUCCAUGUCCUGCAUCCGCCUGAGACCAAGAUGUUCAGCAAACGCAACAUCUAUGCUGAACUGGAACAGAUGGCCGAAGAAGCAAAAAGGCGGGGUGAAAUUGCCAGGUAUAGCAUCAUCGGCUGCACUUUUCCAACUCUUCUCAGCCAAGGAUAAGUUUCUUUCUGCUGCUCUAGCUUCCACGAUUCUGCAUCUUAAUCUGAUAUUUUCUUCA